rnacentral:rRNA from 1 species
AGAGUUUGAUCCUGGCUCAGAACGAACGCUGGCGGCAGGCUUAACACAUGCAAGUUGAACGGGAUUUGUAUGGUGCUUGCACCAUGUAAUGAGAGUAGCGCACUGGUGAGUAACACGUGGGAACAUACCUUGAAGUGGGGGACAACAGUUGGAAACGACUGCUAAUACCGCAUAAUCCCUGAGGGGGAAAGAUUUAUCGCUUUAAGAUUGGCCCGCGGAAGAUUAGGUAGUUGGUGGGGUAAAGGCCUACCAAGCCGACGAUCUAUAGCUGGUCUGAGAGGACGAACAGCCACAUUGGAACUGAGACACGGUCCAGACUCCUACGGGAGGCAGCAGUGAGGAAUAUUGGGCAAUGGAGGAAACUCUGACCCAGCCAUGCCGCGUGAGUGAAGAAGGUUUUCGAAUUGUAAAGCUCUUUCGGAUGGGACGAUGAUGACGGUACCAUCUAAAGAAGCCCCGGCAAACUUCGUGCCAGCAGCCGCGGUAAUACGAAGGGGGCAAGCGUUGUUCGGAAUUACUGGGCGUAAAGGGAGUGUAGGCGGUUAUGUAAGAUAGUGGUGAAAUCCCAGAGCUUAACUUUGGAAUUGCCAUUAUGACUAUGUGGCUAGAAUUACAGAGAGGAUAGUGGAAUACCCAGUGUAGAGGUGAAAUUCGUAGAUAUUGGGUAGAACACCAGUGGCGAAGGCGACUAUCUGGCUGUAUAUUGACGCUGAGGCUCGAAAGCAUGGGGAUCAAACAGGAUUAGAUACCCUGGUAGUCCAUGCUGUAAACGAUGAGUGCUUGUUGUCGGUGUUGUAUCGGUGACGAAGUUAACGCGUUAAGCACUCCGCCUGGGGAGUACGGUCGCAAGAUUAAAACUCAAAGGAAUUGACGGGGACCC